UAAAUAAUUGCAACGUUGACAAAAUGGCGCCUGACAUGGAGGAUAUAACCGAUGUGCAGAAGAAAAUUUUUGAUAUAAUCCGCGACAAUUCAGUAUUGGAGCUUAAAAUGCUAUUGGUAGCGAAUAAAGUAAAAAUGGAUUUCGUGGAUGAAAAUGGUAUAAGUCCACUUCAACAUGCCUGUUACAAAGGAAGAAAGGAAAUAGUACAAAUACUUCUCGAUCAGGGAGCAGAUGUAAAUGCUUGUCAACACAAUAAUGCGUAUACAGCACUGCAUUUCGCAGCUCUAAGUGGAAAUGCUGAAUUGUGCCAUUUAUUAAUGUCUUAUGGAGCAAAGUUAACAGCUACAAACAAUGUAGGACGGACUCCAGCUCAGAUGGCUGCAUUUGUGGGCAAUCAUAAUUGCGUAGCAACUAUUAAUAAUUUUAUUCCAAAGGCUGAUAUAGAUUAUUAUAUAAAACCACAAGGAUUACAGACUGAAUCGAUGCUUCCACCACAUUUAGCUGAUUGUUUUCAUAAAUUUGUCAUGCAAGUUAAUGUCCAUCCUGUUCGAGUAGUUAUGAACUUACAAAUGUGCUCUGGGCUCUUAGAAAAUGCUGCUAAGGUGCAAAAGGUAUUAGAAUCUAUGCGCCAUAAGAUAAUGACUAGAGGAGCAGAAACAAAUGAAGUAAUGGCUUUCAAAUAUCAUUAUUUAAGUUGUGUUGUCUCUGAAGUAAUUAAAUUCCAAAAGAGGCAAGAAGCAAUGAAAGCGGAAAAAAUUGAGAAAAUAAGUGAUGAGAGGGAUGAAAAGAAGUCUGACACUAUAGAGGUUUUAAUAAGAAAAUUUUUAAAGUGUAGCAAAAGUGAUGGCACUCCAGAAUAUCAGGAAGCUUUCUUACGAGAUGUUGUUAGAGAAUUUCCAUACAGAGAGUGCACUAUCUUUCGUCAAAUGGUAGCAACCCUUGCUGCCCUUGAUCCUCCAUCUGCUGUAUCAGUAGUAUCAGCUGCAAUUAAUGGACAGAGAGCGUUUUUUGAUAAUGCACAAGUUUGUGUUACGUGUGGUGAGGAUAAAGCUAGUAAAAAAUGCAGCAAAUGUAAAACAGUGAAAUAUUGUGACAGAGAAUGUCAGAGAUUGCAUUGGUUCAUGCACAAAAAAGCAUGCACGAGAUUAGGUCAAACCUCAGCAUUAAGUGCAAAAGUAAGCGAUGCAGAUAAGGAAUAAAUAAGCAGUGCUGUAAGCUACAGGUUACAAAAUCUAAAUGUUAAUUAAGACUAAGAUAUAUGAAAGUUAACUCUGAUAGUUCUUUCUCUUCAUUUUUGUUUCAUUCGGUAUUAUCAUACACUGAGGUGAUAUCCAAAUGUUUUUGUCGUCAGAUCUCGCUAGGUAGAUACUAAAACUGCAUAGUAAUUGGUUGUUUCUGAUUGAAAAUUCAGCUGUAACAAAGUCUGAAGAGUCUAACAAAAGGCCAGGUCGUGUUUGAAGAGUCCACCAAUUGCUUUCAUUUUUGGGCCAUUUUUACCAAUUGCGCGUGUAAUGAUGUAUGGUCUAAAUAUCUUAAAAAUGCUCCUAUAUUCAUAUUGAUCUAUGAAUGAAUGUAAAAGUCAGAAGUUUACUAAUAAUAGACUCAACAUACAAUUACUUCCAUCAUGCCUACAAGAUUAUCAUUUCCGCUUGUUCUGGUAUGAUUAAAUUUUCCUACAAGGUAGACCAAAAUGGUGUAAUCGUCCGGAAAUCCCCGGCCCUAAUAUUGAAGCACCUGGCCAUAUUCCUUCUCAGAUGACGGGUGGGUGCUCCCUACUCUUCACGUUUUACAAAUAUUAGCGAAGACAGUUCUUUUAUAAAUAUGAGUCUCAACUGACUAGGCUCGUCGUUUAACACAUAUAUGUUUUGAUGUGCUGUAUGUAUGUUUCAUUGUUAAUUAUUUUAUUAGAAUAGGAGAAUUGAAAAAAAUAUUACCAUAUUUUUAGGAAGCAUUUCUGAACUUUUAUUGAACCAGAGAGUAACGAGACUUUAUGUAUUACAAUAGAUUUUUACCUUUCUUUUCUUUGCGAGUUUUAUUAUAAAUAUUGUAACGUAUAUGUUUUUCAUUAUACAUAAAUACUCGAUCGAAAAGUAUCUUUACUGAUGCCAUGAAAAUAAAACAAACAUGAAUGUUUCCAGCAUUUGAAAUUGUAUUGCUUUUAGAAUCUUUAAACUCCUUGACCACAUUUACAAUACAAACUUUUUUAUGGAUAGAAAUAUAAAAGAUUUUAUUGUAACAUAGUUUUAUUUACAAAACAUUGUAUUUAUAUACAAAACAUUUGUGGUUUUACAAAUAUUAUAUGUAUACAAACUGAAACCAAUAACAUUUAUUUCAUUUAUUGAAUAUUGUGUGACUGACAAGGGUUGUGUUACAAUGUAAAAUUCACAUUUAGAAUAACACUAGAUAUGAUUUGCAGUAUGUAUUUAGUGUUAUUAAAACCUCAUAACGUUCUCUAGAAUAGACUUUUGUCUAUAGGAAAUUUGAGUUUAAAAUUCUGUAUGUACAAGAUAAACUUAAGGAGAAACUACCCCUUAAAUUUUCUCCCCUUUUGUUUCUGAAUAUCGUUUAUAAGAACAAUACGUAAUACAUAGAGUAAUAUUUUAUACUAAAAGCAAUUACUGUUCACGUUAAAGAAGUACGCACUUGAAUUAGUUUUUAUUUUUUAAUUCUGUACCAUAUUAUUUCGUAAACAGCAGCUGCGAUUUAAAGGUGAUCCAGUUCAGCGCUUGCGCAGCAGAUUUCAUCUGCAUUUGGCUUUUAUUACUACACAUCGUGCCAUGACUUGUAAUUAAUUUAUAUUUCCCAAUAUAAUUAAUCCACUAUCAUGUACAGAUAUUGUAAUUAUGCCUAAUUUUAAGGUUAUAACGACAUUAGUAUAUAUAGGAAAUUAAACUACAUAUAUACUUAGAAAAAGAUAAUAAAAAAUAUAAAACAAAACAAUAUAAUGACAUAAGUAGUAACAAUAACUCACAACAGCGAGAUUAAAAUGGUAGAAACCGACAUUACUGACACAUUGGCUACAGGAUAAGGAAGUGGGAUUUUUAAAAAUUAUCUUAACGGCUUUGCAAUAGAUUAAACACGAUUAUUCUGUGUUAUUAAUGAAAUAUUUAUUAAACAUUUGAUAAAGAACAAUUAAUUAUAAUAUUUAGAUUUAUUUUAUAAAAAACAUUUGGUUGUUAUGAAUUCUGAAAAGGAAAAACAAAAUAAAGUUAAUAUUGCUGCUGUUCCUGCUUCGUGCCCCUUGAGGAAUAAAAUAU